rnacentral:rRNA from 1 species
AUGAACGCUGGCGGCAGGCUUAACACAUGCAAGUCGAACGGUAACAUGAAGAAGCUUGCUUCUUUGAUGACGAGUGGCGGACGGGUGAGUAAUGCUUGGGAAUCUAGCUUAUGGAGGGGGAUAACUACGGGAAACUGUAGCUAAUACCGCGUAGUAUCGAGAGAUGAAAGUGUGGGACCUUCGGGCCACAUGCCAUAGGAUGAGCCCAAGUGGGAUUAGGUAGUUGGUGAGGUAAAGGCUCACCAAGCCGACGACCUCUAGCUGGUCUGAGAGGAUGACCAGCCACACUGGGACUGAGACACGGCCCAGACUCCUACGGGAGGCAGCAGUGGGGAAUAUUGCGCAAUGGGGGCAACCCUGACGCAGCCAUGCCGCGUGAAUGAAGAAGGCCUUCGGGUUGUAAAGUUCUUUCGGUAGCGAGGAAGGCAUUUAGUUUAAUAGACUAGGUGAUUGAC